rnacentral:rRNA from 1 species
UAGACCCGAAACCAGGUGAUCUACCCUUGGUCAGGUUGAAGUUCAGGUAACACUGAAUGGAGGACCGAACCGACUUACGUUGAAAAGUGAGCGGAUGAACUGAGGGUAGCGGAGAAAUUCCAAUCGAACCUGGAGAUAGCUGGUUCUCUCCGAAAUAGCUUUAGGGCUAGCCUCAAGUGAUGAUUAUUGGAGGUAGAGCACUGUUUGGACGAGGGGCCCCUCUCGGGUUACCGAAUUCAGACAAACUCCGAAUGCCAAUUAAUUUAACUUGGGAGUCAGAACAUGGGUGAUAAGGUCCGUGUUCGAAAGGGAAACAGCCCAGACCACCAGCUAAGGUCCCAAAAUAUAUGUUAAGUGGAAAAGGAUGUGGCGUUGCCCAGACAACUAGGAUGUUGGCUUAGAAGCAGCCAUCAUUUAAAGAGUGCGUAAUAGCUCACUAGUCGAGUGACACUGCGCCGAAAAUGUACCGGGGCUAAACAUAUUACCGAAGCUGUGGAUUGUCCUUUGGACAAUGGUAGGAGAGCGUUCUAAGGGCGUUGAAGCAUGAUCGUAAGGACAUGUGGAGCGCUUAGAAGUGAGAAUGCCGGUGUGAGUAGCGAAAGACGGGUGAGAAUCCCGUCCACCGAUUGACUAAGGUUUCCAGAGGAAGGCUCGUCCGCUCUGGGUUAGUCGGGUCCUAAGCUGAGGCCGACAGGCGUAGGCGAUGGAUAACAGGUUGAUAUUCCUGUACCACCUAUAAUCGUUUUAAUCGAUGGGGGGACGCAGUAGGAUAGGCGAAGCGUGCGAUUGGAUUGCACGUCUAAGCAGUAAGGCUGAGUAUUAGGCAAAUCCGGUACUCAUUAAGGCUGAGCUGUGAUGGGGAGAAGACAUUGUGUCUUCGAGUCGUUGAUUUCACACUGCCGAGAAAAGCCUCUAGAUAGAAAAUAGGUGCCCGUACCGCAAACCGACACAGGUAGUCAAGAUGAGAAUUCUAAGGUGAGCGAGCGAACUCUCGUUAAGGAACUCGGCAAAAUGACCCCGUAACUUCGGGAGAAGGGGUGCUCUUUAGGGUUAACGCCCAGAAGAGCCGCAGUGAAUAGGCCCAAGCGACUGUUUAUCAAAAACACAGGUCUCUGCUAAACCGUAAGGUGAUGUAUAGGGGCUGACGCCUGCCCGGUGCUGGAAGGUUAAGAGGAGUGGUUAGCUUCUGCGAAGCUACGAAUCGAAGCCCCAGUAAACGGCGGCCGUAACUAUAACGGUCCUAAGGUAGCGAAAUUCCUUGUCGGGUAAGUUCCGACCCGCACGAAAGGCGUAACGAUUUGGGCACUGUCUCAACGAGAGACUCGGUGAAAUCAUAGUACCUGUGAAGAUGCAGGUUACCCGCGACAGGACGGAAAGACCCCGUGGAGCUUUACUGUAGCCUGAUAUUGAAAUUCGGCACAGCUUGUACAGGAUAGGUAGGAGCCUUUGAAACGUGAGCGCUAGCUUACGUGGAGGCGCUGGUGGGAUACUACCCUAGCUGUGUUGGCUUUCUAACCCGCACCACUUAUCGUGGUGGGAGACAGUGUCAGGCGGGCAGUUUGACUGGGGCGGUCGCCUCCUAAAAGGUAACGGAGGCGCUCAAAGGUUCCCUCAGAAUGGUUGGAAAUCAUUCAUAGAGUGUAAAGGCAUAAGGGAGCUUGACUGCGAGACCUACAAGUCGAGCAGGGUCGAAAGACGGACUUAGUGAUCCGGUGGUUCCGCAUGGAAGGGCCAUCGCUCAACGGAUAAAAGCUACCCCGGGGAUAACAGGCUUAUCUCCCCCAAGAGUUCACAUCGACGGGGAGGUUUGGCACCUCGAUGUCGGCUCAUCGCAUCCUGGGGCUGUAGUCGGUCCCAAGGGUUGGGCUGUUCGCCCAUUAAAGCGGUACGCGAGCUGGGUUCAGAACGUCGUGAGACAGUUCGGUCCCUAUCCGUCGUGGGCGUAGGAAAUUUGAGAGGAGCUGUCCUUAGUACGAGAGGACCGGGAUGGACAUACCUCUGGUGUACCAGUUGUCGUGCCAACGGCAUAGCUGGGUAGCUAUGUGUGGACGGGAUAAGUGCUGAAAGCAUCUAAGCAUGAAGCCCCCCUCAAGAUGAGAUUUCCCAACUUCGGUUAUAAGAUCCCUCAAAGAUGAUGAGGUUAAUAGGUUCGAGGUGGAAGCAUGGUGACAUGUGGAGCUGACGAAUACUAAUCGAUCGAAGACUUAAUCAA